UACGGGGGGAGCAAGCGUUGUUCGGAUUUACUGGGCGUAAAGGGCGCGUAGGCGGUCAGCACAAGUCAGUUGUGAAAUCUCCGGGCUUAACUCGGAAAGGUCAACUGAUACUGUGCGACUAGAGUGCGGAAGGGGCAACUGGAAUUCUCGGUGUAGCGGUGAAAUGCGUAGAUAUCGAGAGGAACACCUGCGGCGAAGGCGGUUCUCUGGGCAUGUCCUGACGCUGAGGAGCGAAAGUGUGGGGAGCGAACAGG
rnacentral:rRNA from 1 species